rnacentral:rRNA from 1 species
UGGGUCAGCGACUUAUAUUCUGUAGCAAGGUUAACCGUAUAGGGGAGCCGGAGGGAAACCGAGUCUUAAUUGGGCGUUAAGUUGCAGGGUAUAGACCCGAAACCCGGUGAUCUAGCCAUGGGCAGGUUGAAGGUUGGGUAACACUAACUGGAGGACCGAACCGACUAAUGUUGAAAAAUUAGCGGAUGACCUGUGGCUGGGGGUGAAAGGCCAAUCAAACCGGGAGAUAGCUGGUUCUCCCCGAAAGCUAUUUAGGUAGCGCCUCGUGAAUUCAUCUCCGGGGGUAGAGCACUGUUUCGGCUAGGGGGCCAUCCCGGCUUACCAACCCGAUGCAAACUGCGAAUACCGGAGAAUGUUAUCACGGGAGACACACGGCGGGUGCUAACGUCCGUCGUGAAGAGGGAAACAACCCAGACCGCCAGCUAAGGUCCCAAAGUCAUGGUUAAGUGGGAAACGAUGUGGGAAGGCCCAGACAGCCAGGAUGUUGGCUUAGAAGCAGCCAUCAUUUAAAGAAAGCGUAAUAGCUCACUGGUCGAGUCGGCCUGCGCGGAAGAUGUAACGGGGCUAAACCAU